rnacentral:rRNA from 1 species
CAAACAGGAUUAGAUACCCUGGUAGUCCACGCCNUAAAACGAUGAAUACUAGGUGUUGGAUGCAUUAGCAUUCAGUGCCGCAGUUAACGCAUUAAGUAUUCCACCUGGGGAGUACGAUCGCAAGGUUGAAACUCAAAGGAAUUGACGGGGGCCCGCACAAGCAGUGGAGCAUGUGGUUUAAUUCGAAGCAACGCGAAGAACCUUACCAGGUCUUGACAUCCAGGUAAACUUGCAGAGAUGCAAGGUGUGCUUGCACAAUCUGAGACAGGUGGUGCAUGGUUGUCGUCAGCUCGUGUCGUGAGAUGUUAGGUUAAGUCCCGCAACGAGCGCAACCCUUGUGAUUAGUUACUAACGGGUAAAGCCGAGGACUCUAAUAAGACUGCCGGGGACAACUCGGAGGAAGGUGGGGACGACGUCAAAUCAUCAUGCCCCUUAUGACCUGGGCUACACACGUGCUACAAUGGCCACGACAGAGAGCAGCGAUACCGUAAGGGGGAGCUAAUCUCAUAAAAGUGGUCCCAGUUCGGAUUGUGGGCUGCAACCCGCCCACAUGAAGUCGGAGUUGCCAGUAAUCGCGGAUCAGCAUGCCGCGGUGAAUACGUUCCCGGGCCUUGUACACACCGCCCGUCACACCAUGGGAGUUGGUAGCACCCGAAGCCGGUNNNGUAACCGAAAGGAGCCAGCCGUCGAAGGUGAGACCAAUGACUGGGGUGAAGUCGUAACAAGGUAGCC